AACGUACGCUGGCGGCACGCCUAACACAUGCAAGUCGAACGAAGUAGCAAUACUUAGUGGCAGACGGGUGAGUAACAUGUAGGUAUCUGCCCUUUGGCCUGGAAUAACACGAGGAAACUUGUGCUAAUACCGGAUAAGUCUUUACGGAGAAAGCUUUAUGCACCAUUGGAUGAGCCUGCACUUGAUUAGUUUGUUGGUGGGGUAAUGGCCUACCAAGACUGUGAUCAAUAGCUGAUUUGAGAGGAUGAUCAGCCACAUUGGGACUGAGACACGGCCCAAACUCCUACGGGAGGCAGCAGUGGGGAAUCUUGCACAAUGGAGGAAACUCUGAUGCAGCGAUGCCGCGUGAGUGAAGAAGGCCCUUGGGUUGUAAAGCUCUUUCGUCGGGGAAGAAAAUGACUGUACCCGAAUAAGAAGGUCCGGCUAACCUCGUGCCAGCAGCCGCGGUAAUACGAAGGGACCUAGCGUAGUUCGGAAUUACUGGGCUUAAAGAGUUCGUAGGUGGUUGAAAAAGUUAGUGGUGAAAUCCCAGAGCUUAACUCUGGAACUGCCAUUAAAACUUUUCAGCUAGAGUAUGAUAGAGGAAAGCAGAAUUUCUAGUGUAGAGGUGAAAUUCGUAGAUAUUAGAAAGAAUACCAAUUGCGAAGGCAGCUUUCUGGAUCAUUACUGACACUGAGGAACGAAAGCAUGGGUAGCGAAGAGGAUUAGAUACCCUCGUAGUCCAUGCCGUAAACGAUGUGUGUUAGACGUUGGAAAUUUAUUUUCAGUGUCGCAGGGAAACCGAUAAACACACCGCCUGGGGAGUACGACCGCAAGGUUAAAACUCAAAUGAAUUGACGGGGACCCGCACAAGUAGUGGAGCAUGUGGUUUAAUUCGAAGAUACGCGCAGAACCUUACCAACACUUGACAUGUUCGUCGCGACUCUAAGAGAUUAGAGUUUUCGGUUCGGCCGGACGAAACACAGGUGCUGCAUGGCUGUCGUCAGCUCGUGUCGUGAGAUGUUGGGUUAAGUCCCGCAACGAGCGCAACCCUCACUUUUAGUUGCCAUCAUUAAGUUGGGCACUCUGAAAGAACUGCCAGUGAUAAGCUGGAGGAAGGUGGGGAUGACGUCAAGUCCUCAUGGCCCUUACGUGUUGGGCUACACACGUGCUACAAUGGUAUCUACAACAGGAAGCAAGACUGCGAAGUUAAGCAAAUCCCUAAAAGAUACCUCAGUUCGGAUUGCACUCUGCAACUCGAGUGCAUGAAGCUGGAAUUACUAGUAAUCGUGGAUCAGCGUGCCACGGUGAAUGCGUUCCCGGGUCU
rnacentral:rRNA from 1 species